rfam:Neotoma lepida isolate 417 scaffold_1734, whole genome shotgun sequence.
AGAAAUAUAUGUCUGAUGAAAGAAUUACUUUGAUAGAGUAAAACAUAGAGGUUUAAGUCCUCUUAUUUCUA